rnacentral:rRNA from 1 species
AGUCGAACGUGAAAGCACUUCGGUGUGAGUAGAGUGGCGGACGGGUGAGUAACGCGUGGGAAUCUACCCAGUAGUGGGGGACAACUACCGGAAACGGUAGCUAAUACCGCAUACGCCCUAUGGGGGAAAGGCUUCGGCCGCUAUUGGAUGAGCCCGCGUCAGAUUAGCUAGUUGGUAGGGUAAAGGCCUACCAAGGCAACGAUCUGUAGCUGGUCUGAGAGGACGAACAGCCACACUGGGACUGAGACACGGCCCAGACUCCUACGGGAGGCAGCAGUGGGGAAUAUUGGACAAUGGGCGAAAGCCUGAUCCAGCAAUGCCGCGUGUGUGAAGAAGGCCUGCGGGUUGUAAAGCACUUUCAGUUGGGAAGAUGAUGACGUUACCAACAGAAGAAGCACCGGCUAAAUCCGUGCCAGCAGCCGCGGUAAUACGGAUGGUGCGAGCGUUAAUCGGAAUUACUGGGCGUAAAGCGCGCGUAGGCGGCUAAGUCAGUCAGAAGUGAAAGCCCCGGGCUCAACCUGGGAAUUGCUUUUGAUACUGCUUAGCUAGAGUUUGGUAGAGGAUAGUGGAAUUCCAGGUGUAGCGGUGAAAUGCGUAGAUAUCUGGAGGAACAUCAGUGGCGAAGGCGACUGUCUGGACCAAAACUGACGCUGAGGUGCGAAAGCGUGGGUAGCAAACAGGAUUAGAUACCCUGGUAGAAGGGC